rnacentral:rRNA from 1 species
GUAGGGAAUCUUGCUCAAUGGGCGAAAGCCUGACGCAGCCAUGCCGCGUGAAUGAUGAAGGUCUUAGGAUUGUAAAAUUCUUUCACCGGGGACGAUAAUGACGGUACCCGGAGAAGAAGCCCCGGAUAACUUCGUGCCAGCAGCCGCGGUACUACGAAGGGGGCUAGCGUUGCUCGGAAUUACUGUGCGUAAAGGGAGCGUAGGCGGAUAUUUUAGUCAGAGGUUAAAGCCCAGGGCUCAACCUUGGACUUGCCUUUGAUACUGUCUAUCUUGAGUAUGGAAGAGGUAUGUGGAACUCCGAGUGUAGAGGUGAAAUUCGUAGAUAUUCGGAAGAACACCAGUCGCGAAGGCGACAUACUGGUCCAUUACUGACGCUGAGGCUCGAAAGCGUGGGGAGCAAACAGGAUUAGAAACCCCGGUAGUCC